GACGAACGCUGGCGGCGUGCUUAACACAUGCAAGUCGAGCGGUAAGGCCCUUUCGGGGUACACGAGCGGCGAACGGGUGAGUAACACGUGGGUGACCUGCCCUUAGCUCUGGGAUAAGCCUGGGAAACUGGGUCUAAUACCGGAUAUGACUCCAUGACGCAUGUUGUGGGGUGGAAAGCCUUGUGCGGCUAGGGAUGGGCCCGCGGCCUAUCAGCUUGUUGGUGGGUGAUGGCCUACCAAGGCGACGACGGGUAGCCGGCCUGAGAGGCGACCGGCCGACACUGGGACUGAGACACGGCCCAGACUCCUACGGGAGGCAGGCAGUGGGGAAUCUUGCGCAAUGGGCGAAAGCCUGACGCAGCGACGCCGCGUGGGGA
rnacentral:rRNA from 1 species